rnacentral:rRNA from 1 species
GACGAACGCUGGCGGCGUGCUUAACACAUGCAAGUCGUACGGUAAGGCCCUUUCGGGGGUCCACGAGUGGCGAACGGGUGAGUAACACGUGAGUAACCUGCCCACAACUUUGGGAUAACGCUAGGAAACUGGUGCUAAUACUGGAUAUGUGCUCCUGCUGCAUGGUGGGGGUUGGAAAGCUCCGGCGGUUGUGGAUGGACUCGCGGCCUAUCAGCUUGUUGGUGGGGUAGUGGCCUACCAAGGCGGCGACGGGCAGCCGGCCUGAGAGGGUGACCGGCCACAUUGGGACUGAGAUACGGCCCAGACUCCUACGGGAGGCAGCAGUGGGGAAUAUUGCACAAUGGGCGCAAGCCUGAUGCAGCAACGCCGCGUGCGGGAUGACGGCCUUCGGGUUGUAAACCGCUUUCAGCAGGGACGAAGCUUUUUGUGACGGUACCUGCAGAAGAAGCACCGGCUAACUACGUG